UACGUAGGGUGCAAGCGUUGUCCGGAAUUAUUGGGCGUAAAGAGCUCGUAGGCGGUUUGUCGCGUCUGCUGUGAAAACCCGAGGCUUAACCCCGGGCCUGCAGUGGGUACGGGCAGACUAGAGUGCGGUAGGGGAGACUGGAAUUCCUGGUGUAGCGGUGAAAUGCGCAGAUAUCAGGAGGAACACCGAUGGCGAAGGCAGGUCUCUGGGCCACUACUGACGCUGAGAAGCGAAAGCAUGGGGAGCGAACAGG
rnacentral:rRNA from 1 species